GAUGAACGCUGGCGGCGUGCCUAAUACAUGCAAGUCGAGCGAACAGACGAGGAGCUUGCUCCUCUGACGUUAGCGGCGGACGGGUGAGUAACACGUGGAUAACCUACCUAUAAGACUGGGAUAACUUCGGGAAACCGGAGCUAAUACCGGAUAAUAUAUUGAACCGCAUGGUUCAAUAGCGAAAGACGGUUUUGCUGUCACUUAUAGAUGGAUCCGCGCCGCAUUAGCUAGUUGGUAAGGUAACGGAUUACCAAGGCAACGAUGCGUAGCCGACCUGAGAGGGUGAUCGGCCACACUGGAACUGAGACACGGUCCAGACUCCUACGGGAGGCAGCAGUAGGGAAUCUUCCGCAAUGGGCGAAAGCUUGACGGAGCAACGCCGCGUGAGUGAUGAAGGUCUUCGGAUCGUAAAACUCUGUUAUUAGGGAAGAACAAAUGUGUAAGUAACUAUGCACGUCUUGACGGUACCUAAUCAGAAAGCCACGGCUAACUACGUG
rnacentral:rRNA from 1 species